UUAUGGCGGCGGACGAGUGCGGUUCCUUGUGUGCAUGUGCGUGUGUGUGCGUGCGUGGUAUCGCGGUUAGUGUAGUGACAAUGUGCGUUAGUUUAUCCUCUUAUGCGUCUUCCUCGCGUUGGAUCUGGUGAGUACCCAUAUCACAGGUCACAUCGUGGGACAGACACCGCUGGAGCAACCCUUCGGAAUUAGGUGAAGUACAGAUUACGGUUUCCUAGGCGUUAGGAGUUAGGCAUAGGGCGAUAGGCGGCGCGGCUAACCAUUUCCUUUUCAGACUAACUUUUUCUUCCAGGUACAGUUAAUUAUCUAGUCUUCCACAGUAAUGCCCUCGUUAAUGUACCGUGGCGGCGAUCCUGGAGCCUGGUGCUGGUGGUGGUGGUGGGCGUGCACGUGGUCAUAUGGUACGUAAACGGUAACCAAUUUUUUUCAGGUGUAAACUAACCUUCUCUUCCAGGUACAUGUUAAUUAUUUAGUCUUCCCCAGUAAUGGCCUUGUUAGCUUACCGUGGCGGCGUGCUGUGGCGACGAUCCUGGUGGUGGUGGUUAACGGUGAUGGUGACGGCUGGCUGGCGGUGGCGGGCGUGUACAGUGCCGUCAUAUGGGUUGUGUUGUUGGUUUCAUUCGACUAGUCUGUGGUGGUGCGUGUAUUGGAGAUGAUCGCAGAGACGCUACAGCCACGCAGAGGUAGAAGGUGGAUGGAAGUAUGGAAAUCUCGCAGUGACGAUGGAAAAGUAACAUCAAUGGUUGUCAAUCUGGCUGUGGUGUGAACGAGUGAGCGAGCAAGAAUGAACUGGCAGCGGGCGGGCGGGGGAAGGCUGAGCUGGUGAUAGGCUACGCGAGGCUAGUGAAGAU